AGAAUAAACACGUCUGUAGUUUUUACGGCUCCUCACAUUUUCUUCCAGCCUCUUAGCCCACGUCUUGCCUACCAUCAUUUCAGCAAACAGUGCUCAUAGUGAGAUACAGAGAGACAAUUGGCACUAUGAGCAGGAUCAGCAAUACAGAUGGGUUAGGGUUAGAUGGGAUGGAGAGGUGGGAGGGAGGCUCAAGAGGGAUGAGAUAUACGUAUAUAUAUAUAUCUGAUUCAUAUUGUGAUACAGCAGAAACUAAACAAACUUGUAAAGUAGUUAUCCUCCAAAUAAAAACAUUUUUUAAGAUAUUAGAAUUGAAAUUUUUUCACAGAAAAGCAGAGAUCUAGAAAAAAGCUGUAAAAUAGGAGAAACAUGUUAUCUUAAAAGGAAAAGGAAAAUAAAAGAUUUAUUUUGAAGCUGAAUUUUUUUUUUCUUUUUUUCUGGAGCAUAACUGGGAAACUGUCUCAUUGGAAGACAUUUACAAGGUAAAACUGAGAUACUUGCUGAGUUCUCACUGAAGAAGAAUCUGGAAUUCUUAAAAUAAAAGCUGAACAGCAAACAAAUGACAGGUGUUCUGUGUUUUGCAGACAAAGGCUGAGAAAAUCCAGGAGACAUGUAUAAAAGCCUAAGCUCCCAAUUCACAGAGAUAAUCUUGAAGUUUUCUUCUUCAGUUCUUAUAUGGGAAAUUUACCAAACAUUGUAAUUAAUGUGCUUCACAGCUGAAUAAAUUCUUUCCCAAGA